rnacentral:rRNA from 1 species
UCGAUUCCCUUAGUAGCGGCGAGCGAAACGGGAAGAGCCCAAACCAACAAGCUUGCUUGUUGGGGUUGUAGGACACUCUAUACGGAGUUACAAAGGACGACAUUAGACGAAUCAUCUGGAAAGAUGAAUCAAAGAAGGUAAUAAUCCUGUAGUCGAAAAUGUUGUCUCUCUUGAGUGGAUCCUGAGUACGACGGAGCACGUGAAAUUCCGUCGGAAUCUGGGAGGACCAUCUCCUAAGGCUAAAUACUCUCUAGUGACCGAUAGUGAACCAGUACCGUGAGGGAAAGGUGAAAAGCACCCCGGAAGGGGAGUGAAAUAGAACCUGAAACCGUGUGCUUACAAGUAGUCAGAGCCCGUUAAUGGGUGAUGGCGUGCCUUUUGUAGAAUGAACCGGCGAGUUACGAUUUGAUGCAAGGUUAAGCAGUAAAUGUGGAGCCGUAGCGAAAGCGAGUCUGAAUAGGGCGUUUAGUAUUUGGUCGUAGACCCGAAACCAGGUGAUCUACCCUUGGUCAGGUUGAAGUUCAGGUAACACUGAAUGGAGGACCGAACCGACUUACGUUGAAAAGUGAGCGGAUGAACUGAGGGUAGCGGAGAAAUUCCAAUCGAACCUGGAGAUAGCUGGUUCUCUCCGAAAUAGCUUUAGGGCUAGCCUCAAGUGAUGAUUAUUGGAGGUAGAGCACUGUUUGGACGAGGGGCCCCUCUCGGGUUACCGAAUUCAGACAAACUCCGAAUGCCAAUUAAUUUAACUUGGGAGUCAGAACAUGGGUGAUAAGGUCCGUGUUCGAAAGGGAAACAGCCCAGACCACCAGCUAAGGUCCCAAAAUAUAUGUUAAGUGGAAAAGGAUGUGGCGUUGCCCAGACAACUAGGAUGUUGGCUUAGAAGCAGCCAUCAUUUAAAGAGUGCGUAAUAGCUCACUAGUCGAGUGACACUGCGCCGAAAAUGUACCGGGGCUAAACAUAUUACCGAAGCUGUGGAUUGUCCUUUGGACAAUGGUAGGAGAGCGUUCUAAGGGCGUUGAAGCAUGAUCGUAAGGACAUGUGGAGCGCUUAGAAGUGAGAAUGCCGGUGUGAGUAGCGAAAGACGGGUGAGAAUCCCGUCCACCGAUUGACUAAGGUUUCCAGAGGAAGGCUCGUCCGCUCUGGGUUAGUCGGGUCCUAAGCUGAGGCCGACAGGCGUAGGCGAUGGAUAACAGGUUGAUAUUCCUGUACCACCUAUAAUCGUUUUAAUCGAUGGGGGGACGCAGUAGGAUAGGCGAAGCGUGCGAUUGGAUUGCACGUCUAAGCAGUAAGGCUGAGUAUUAGGCAAAUCCGGUACUCGUUAAGGCUGAGCUGUGAUGGGGAGAAGACAUUGUGUCUUCGAGUCGUUGAUUUCACACUGCCGAGAAAAGCCUCUAGAUAGAAAAUAGGUGCCCGUACCGCAAACCGACACAGGUAGUCAAGAUGAGAAUUCUAAGGUGAGCGAGCGAACUCUCGUUAAGGAACUCGGCAAAAUGACCCCGUAACUUCGGGAGAAGGGGUGCUCUUUAGGGUUAACGCCCAGAAGAGCCGCAGUGAAUAGGCCCAAGCGACUGUUUAUCAAAAACACAGGUCUCUGCUAAACCGUAAGGUGAUGUAUAGGGGCUGACGCCUGCCCGGUGCUGGAAGGUUA